GUGCAAAACGUGACAGUCGAUCGAACUCAGCCUCAUAAUCCUCCACAGUCAUACUCCCCUGAGAGAGACUCAGAAACUCCCUCUCCAACUCCCUGAUACGACUGGAAGGGAAAUACUUGGAGUAGAAGGCCAUGCGGAAUCCCGGCCAGGUCACAUAUCCUGCAUCCUGCAUCAUAGUCCUCUCCACAGACUCCCACCAAUGAUGAGCCCGGUCCUGAAGCAUAUAGGUGGCAAAUCUGAUCUUCUCCUCCUCAGUACAACCCAUGGCCCUGAAAGCCUUCUCCAUCUCAUCUAUCCACCAUUCGGCCUCUUGGGGAUCGGUAGUUCCCUUGAAGGCCGGAGGAGCCAACUUCCGGAAUUCUGCAAUGCUCCUCCCCUGAUCCGACGAGCUAGCAGAGGGAUGCUGUGGAUGUGGGUCCCUCUGCUGUCUGACCAGCUCAAUCACCUCCCUGACCAGUUCCAAUACUGGGGUCGAUCCUCCCGCCUGAUCCUGUUCUGGUCGGUCUAAAACUGUCGGAGCAAUCUCC
rnacentral:lncRNA from 1 species